UACGGGGGGGGCAAGCGUUGUUCGGAAUUACUGGGCGUAAAGGGCUCGUAGGUGGCCGACUAAGUCAGACGUGAAAUCCCUCGGCUUAACCGGGGAACUGCGUCUGAUACUGGACGGCUUGAGUUCGGGAGAGGGAUGCGGAAUUCCAGGUGUAGCGGUGAAAUGCGUAGAUAUCUAGAGGAACACCGGUGGCGAAGGCGGCAUCCUGGACCGACACUGACACUGAGGAGCGAAAGCCAGGGGAGCAAACGGG
rnacentral:rRNA from 1 species